rnacentral:rRNA from 1 species
GACAGAGGGGGCAAGCGUUGCUCGGAAUUACUGGGCGUAAAGGGCGCGUAGGCGGCUCGGCACGUCCGUUGUGAAAUCGCCCGGCUCAACUGGGCGGGGUCAGCGGAUACGGCCGAGCUGGAGCAAGCUAGGGGGUAAUGGAAUUCCCGGUGUAGUGGUGGAAUGCGUAGAUAUCGGGAGGAACACCAGUGGCGAAGGCGGUUACCUGGAGCUUUGCUGACGCUGAUGCGCGAAAGCGUGGGGAGCGAUCCGG